UACGUUCCCGGACCUUGUACACACCGCCCGUCAAGCCAUGGAAGUUGGGAGGACCUGAAGACAGUUGCUGUAAGGCGCUGUUUAGGGUUAAACCGAUGACUGGGCU
rnacentral:rRNA from 1 species